CAGUAGCCACGGUAAUACGGAGGGUGCAAGCGUUAAUCGGAAUUACUGGGCGUAAAGGGCGCGUAGGCGGCCAUUCAAGUUAGAUGUGAAAGCCCUGGGCUCAACCUAGGAAUUGCAUUUGAUACUGUUUGGCUUGAGUUCGGGAGAGGUGAGUGGAAUUCCCAGUGUAGAGGUGAAAUUCGUAGAUAUUGGGAAGAACACCAGUGGCGAAGGCGGCUCACUGGACCGACACUGACGCUGAGGCGCGAAAGCGUGGGGAGCAAACAGGAUUAGAUACCCCCGUAGUCCCUGUCUCUUAUAC
rnacentral:rRNA from 1 species